rnacentral:rRNA from 1 species
UACAGAGGUCCCGAGCGUUGUUCGGAUUCACUGGGCGUAAAGGGUGCGUAGGCGGUCGGGUAAGUCUAAUGUGAAAUCUCACAGCUUAACUGUGAAACUGCAUUGGAUACUAUUCGGCUUGAGGUCUGGAGGGGGGACUGGAAUUCUUGGUGUAGCAGUGAAAUGCGUAGAUAUCAAGAGGAACACCAGUGGCGAAGGCGAGUCCCUGGACAGGUCCUGACGCUGAGGCACGAAAGCUAGGGGAGCAAACAGG